rnacentral:lncRNA from 1 species
AAAAAAAAAAAAAAAAAAAAAAAAAAAAAAAAAAAAAAAAAAAAAAAAAAAAAAAAAAAAAAAAAAAAAAAAAAAAAAAAAAAAAAAAAAAAAAAAAAAAAAAAAAAAAAAAAAAAAAAAAAAAAAAAAAAAAAAAAAAAAAAAAAAAUGGUGUUGGGAAUAUUUGAUGGAAAAAAAAAAAAAAAAAAAAAAAAAAAAAAAAUCAAAA